GUACUCACUUCAGAAGCACAUAUUCUAAAAUUCGAUACAGAGAAGAUUAGCAUGGCUCCUGCGCAAGGAUGACAUGCAAACUCAAGAAAUGUUCCCAUUUUCU
ensembl:snRNA U6 U6 spliceosomal RNA